UACGUAGGGUGCGAGCGUUGUCCGGAAUUACUGGGCGUAAAGAGCUCGUAGGUGGUUUGUCGCGUUGUCCGUGAAAACUCACAGCUCAACUGUGGGCGUGCGGGCGAUACGGGCAGACUUGAGUACUGCAGGGGAGACUGUAAUUCCUGGUGUAGCGGUGGAAUGCGCAGAUAUCAGGAGGAACACCGGUGGCGAAGGCGGGUCUCUGGGCAGUAACUGACGCUGAGGAGCGAAAGCGUGGGGAGCGAACAGG
rnacentral:rRNA from 1 species